rnacentral:pre_miRNA from 14 species
CUAUCAAGAGAGCUAUCCGUCGACAGUAUAAUUUUUAACUACACUGUCAUGGAGUUGCUCUCUUUAUGGAC